UUCUAUAGGUGGACGUUUGAUCCAGGAGGACAAGCUUUGGCGAAGCAAAAGGUUGCUAUCCGAGAUCAAGUCUGUAGAUCUGAGGAUAGAUCUUCUCAAGAAGGAGGAGAUGAUGGACACCAUCCAGCCACAUCCAUUCCCCUAGCCAUGAAGAAGAAGAAGAAGAAAUGGAUUUGAGGACAAAUCCUUUUCAAGAGGGAGGGGAUGAUGGAAGAGGCCCAAGCACAAGCCCACAUGCAAGCCCACCAAAGGGUAGAUUUGGGCCAACCAUAGAGUUAUGGCCAAGAGGAUCCAAGAAGACGUUCUUUUACAUGUUCAAAUGCCAUAAACUCUAGUGUAGAGUAGACUUUAAUUUCUUGUCAAAAUUAGCAUAGGAACUUUAUUUGUAAUUUUCUUAGAAUUAAUUUUUGCACCUAAAACACCAACCUAGGUAAACUUAGAGUUUCUAAAAAAAAACUCUAAAUUUACCAAGGCCGGUCUAGAAAGCCCAUGGAGGGGGUGAGCAUAAAAACUAGACACACCCCUCCCCAUGUGCUCAUUUGUGCACCCAUGUG
rnacentral:lncRNA from 1 species